rnacentral:rRNA from 2 species
UUGACCUCGAAUCAGGUAGGGAUACCCGCUGAACUUA